rnacentral:rRNA from 1 species
GUCGAACGAUGAACCUCCUUCGGGAGGGGAUUAGUGGCGAACGGGUGAGUAACACGUGGGCAAUCUGCCCUGCACUCUGGGACAAGCCCUGGAAACGGGGUCUAAUACCGGAUACGAGUUUCACCGGCAUCGGUGAUUCUGGAAAGCUCCGGCGGUGCAGGAUGAGCCCGCGGCCUAUCAGCUUGUUGGUGAGGUAAUGGCUCACCAAGGCGACGACGGGUAGCCGGCCUGAGAGGGCGACCGGCCACACUGGGACUGAGACACGGCCCA